CGCAGUCAUCGGGGAAUCCGCGCGCUUAACGCGCGGGCGUCCGGUGGAAACUGCGUGGCUUGGGACCGGAAGACCAGAGGGGUACGUCCGGGGUAGGAGUGAAAUCCCGUAAUCCUGGACGGACCACCGGUGGCGAAAGCGCCUCUGGAAGACGGAUCCGACGGUGAGGGACGAAAGCUCGGGUCACGAACCGGAUUAGAUACCCGGGUAGUCCGAGCUGUAAACGAUGUCUGCUAGGUGUGGCACAGGCUACGAGCCUGUGCUGUGCCGUAGGGAAGCCGUGAAGCAGACCGCCUGGGAAGUACGUCCGCAAGGAUGAAACUUAAAGGAAUUGGCGGGGGAGCACUACAACCGGAGGAGCCUGCGGUUUAAUUGGACUCAACGCCGGACAUCUCACCAGCAUCGACAAUGUGCAGUGAACGUCAGGUUGAUGACCUUACUGGAGCCAUUGAGAGGAGGUGCAUGGCCGCCGUCAGCUCGUACCGUGAGGCGUCCUGUUAAGUCAGGCAACGAGCGAGACCCGCAUCCUUACUUGCCAGCAGCACUGCGAAGUGGCUGGGGACAGUAGGGAGACCGCCGUGGCCAACACGGAGGAAGGAACGGGCAACGGUAGG
rnacentral:rRNA from 1 species